CAUCUGUCUGUCCUAGGUACCCUAUGAGUUCUUCAUGCUGUGGAUGCUGGGACCUGCUUGGCAACUGACUCCCUGGGAGCGUCUGGUUUUAAGUAACAGCAGCUGCUCCCGGAGCAACACCCACUUUAUCACAGAGGACACAGGAGCCAUGGGUCAGGCAAGUCUUCAGACUCCCUCAGCCUGUGUGGUGAGAAUCAGGGUGCCCCCCCCCCCCCCCCCCCCCCCCCGAGCAGGAAAAAUCAAACCCAGGGUGCCUGCCUGCAAAUGCUCUUUACCUCCUUCACUUCCUGCGCCUUAGGUCCCUCUUCCCCUGGCCUCAGUUUCCCCAUCUAUUCAAUCUAUCCAACACCCACCCCAGGAUUGCUUUGGGAGGAGAAAAAGUGGGGUUGCUGGAGAAGCAGCACCUCCUACUCUCCUCUCCUCGCCCCUGCUCCUCCAGCGCCGGUUUCUGCUUUCCGGCUGGGGGGCCUCACGGGCGGCCCUGCGCCUCAAGAAUGCCCUCGUAGGCGUGUGUCAUCGUCACGGGAGGAGGAAGAGGGAGAGGCGGCUGCAAGGUCGCCACCCUCCACCCCCGGCCCCCGACCCCCCAGCGGCGUCUUCCGCAGCGUCGCCAGCAGCGGCCCGCGCCCCCGCGCGCUCCCCGCCUUGCCCGCCUCCGGCCCCGCGCGCCCGCCCCGGCGACCCUGCCGCUUGGAGCCGCGCCCCCGGGAGCCGCAGUGCCCAGCCGCCCGGGGCCGGCGCGGAUCAGGCGGCGAGAGGCGGCUCCCAUGCGGCACCCGCGUGGAGGCGCGGGCGGCGGGCGCAGGUGACAAGGCGCCAUGGGGCAGGCGGGCUGCAAGGGGCUUUCCCAGUCGCUGUUCGACUACAAGACCGAGAAGUAUGUCAUCGCCAAGAACAAGAAGUUGGGUGUUCCUGGUGAAGAAGGGUUACCAAGACACCGACACCUCCCUGCAGAGCAGCAUUAUCACCAAAGUCAAGGGUGUGACCUUCACCAACACAUCUGAGCUUGGGGAGCGGCUUUGGGAUGUUGCCGACUAUGUCAUCCCACCCCAGGGAGAGAACGUCUUCUUCGUAGUCACCAACUUGAUUGUGACCCCCAACCAGCGGCAGGAAACCUGUGCUGAGAGUGAAAGCAUUCCGGACGCCUGGUGCUACACUGACAGUGACUGUCCUUCUGGGGACCCUGUUGUGGCUGGAAAUGGAGUGAAGACUGGACGCUGCCUUCGGGUGGGGAACAUGCAAAGGGGCACCUGUGAGAUCUUCGCCUGGUGCCCAGUGGAGACGAAGUCCAGGCCAGUGAAGCCACUCCUGGGCAAGGCUGAAGACUUCACCGUUUAUAUAAAGAACUUCAUCCGUUUCCCCAAAUUCAACUUCUCCAAGACCAACGUGCUGGACACCAAAGACAGAGCCUUCCUGAAGUCCUGUCAGUUUGGCCCCAAGAACCCCUACUGCCCCAUCUUCCGCCUGGGAUCUGUGGUCAGCUGGACGGGGAGCAACUUCCAGGAGAUAGCCCUGCAGGGUGGUGUGAUAGGAAUUCAGAUUGAAUGGGACUGUGAUCUUGAUAAAGCUCCUUCUGAGUGCAACCCUCACUAUUCUUUUAGCCGUCUGGACAACAAAUUCUCGGAAAACUCAAUCUCCUCUGGGUACAACUUCAGGUUUGCCAAAUAUUACCGAGAUGGAGCUGGAGUGGAGUUCCGCACGCUGAUGAAAGCCUAUGGGAUCCGCUUUGAUGUGAUGGUGAAUGGCAAGGCAGGGAAGUUCAGCAUCAUCCCCACCAUCAUCAACAUUGGCUCCGGGGUGGCGCUCAUGGGUGCUGGAGCUUUCUUCUGUGACCUGGUACUUAUCUACUUCAUCAAGAAGAGCCAUUUUUACCGAGACAAGAAGUACGAGGAAGUGAGAAUCCUACGGGUCCCCCCAGGGCUUGCAGAGUCCUCACAGCAGGGCAGGACCCCAGAGGCAGAGGAGGCCGAGCAGCCUGAGGUGCACCACGGAGGCGGCAGCCAGAAGGGGAAUGGCUGCCCAUGCCAGCAGCUCCUUGAGCCCGUCAGCAACGUAGGGAGGUGGACACCAAUAGUCCCUAUUCUUCUAAUGAGGAAAUGGAAGCAAGAAAGGUUUAAGUAACUUGCUCGUCACACAGCUGAUAAAUGGCAGAGCUGGGAUUUGAAACGGCCAGUACAUCUCUAGAAUCCAGUUCUUCUCCAUCAGGUCUGGCCACCUGGGGAACGGAAAGGUCGAUGCGGAGCAGCUACAGAACCUGCAGACAGCGGAGGCCUAGUCAGAGGUAUCCGCUGAGAGCAGAUUUGCUGAAGAUGUUGGGGCCAAGGCACCUGCAGCCCUGAACUGAAAAUUGUCUUUGUGUCUGCAUGGGACAGGUGCUUCCAGGCACUGCCAUCUCUUCUGCUCUUUGGGAUCUUGCUGUGGAGCUUUUUGUUCUGUGUAUUGGGUGUGUGGCAGGGGUGAGGCAGCCUCUUAGUGGCCAGAGUGGCUCAGAUCUACAAAAGGAGGCCUGGAAGAAGCAAGUGGGGGAAGGUCAGUGGCCUGGGUGGUACUAGAGUUCUUUAUUUUUCUGAAAUGAAAAAUGUUCAUGCAUUCAUUCAUGCAUUCAUAUGAUACAUAUUAUUUGCUAUGGGCUGUGCCCUAUCCAAGAGAUGCUUAAAUGAGAUGCUGACCUGGCCCUCAAGGAGGGGAGCACACAUGUAAUUCCCUCCAGAGCCAGCAGACCUCACACCUAGCUUCAGCCACCCUGGCCUUCCUCCAGCCUCUGGUUGAGACUUUCACAGAUCCCUGUUGAGAAUGGUGGCUCCUUGGAGAAAGACUCUGGCUAACAUCCAAGGGGACAUUUGGCCUUGCCCUCAGGGAAAAAAUUUAAAGGUGGCCAAGGAGGCAACCAGGAAAGGACUGGAUGUGUGUAAGGAGGCAACUGGCCCCUGAGGGGAGAGGCAGCCUCUGAGGGCUUUCAGCUAAGGUGGGGAAGCAGAGGCAGGGAGGCCUCUGCUCCAGUCUACCCACCCAGUCUCUGGAAGCUUUGGGCAUAGUGUCUCACCUAAAUAGGAAAGUGUCUGUCUGUAUCUUGCAGUUCUGUGCAGCUGGGUGUCCCGACCUAGCCUCCCUCCCUUUCUCCUCCAAGGCUGGGUCUGAAGGGGUAAGGAGAUACAAUAGGUGGAGCUCACUUGGCCCGGAAGCAACUGUUAAUAAGGCGGCCCUAACCCUCACCCCAGCUCCAUCCCGCCUCCACCCUGCAGACCCAAACUGCUUCACCCCUAGUGGCUGUAGAGCCUCACUACUUCAAGUGUGGCCUGUAGACCAGCAGCAUCAGCCUCAGAACCUGUGUUUCAGCAAGAUUCCUAGGUGAUUCGUGUGAACAUUAUUGGUUGAGAGCCCUGGUUAAAGAGAUAUGCCAAGACUGGGUCCAAGGGAGGAAAAGGCUGGCUUUGACAGGUGCUGCCUAUUUCUAGGCCAGACUUAUACACGUUGUACUUGGAGAGCAAUAGGAUUCCACCCCACCCCAGGAAAGUGGCAAGCUCCGUAUAUUUCAAUUAAAAUAUUUUGACUAGAUAAUACUUACAUGAUUCAAAAACUAAAAGGUACAAAAGAUUAUAGAGAAUGAAAAGCUUCCCUCCCACGAGGCAACCUGUGUUACCCAUUUCAAGAGGCUCUCCUGUUUUGCGGAGCAUCUACGCAGUGGUUCCUUGUGCCCUUACACAGGAAAUGAACUUUGCCUGAUGCUUGCAACAUCAGACCAAGUCUCCUCUGUCAGAAAGGGACUCGAUGGAGGACACCUUAAGUACUGGGCUGGGGAGUCUGCUAGCUCAUUUCUCCCUCUUCGAGUGUCUGAGGAGUCCCUGUGUAAACCCCAAGGAAGAGACUCAGAACUCAUCGCUCACUGUUGUCUGAUGGCUCAGGAACAAAGGCCUAUGGUGCUGCCUCUGGCCUGGCAAGCUCCAGGGCUUUGUUUGCACAGUUACCCGGAUGGACGCUAGGCAGUGUCCUCUUUGUAAGUGCUCUCUCUGGGCAUCCCUCAAGUCACCAGGGUUUGGUUUUUCCCUGCACACAGAGGAGGACAGAAGCAUCCUUCCGCUGGGGGCCUUUGGAGAAGGUCAGAGGGAACUGCAAGAAGGCCGUGCCCCUGGGGCAAAGAAGCAUGAUCCCCCAAACAGCUCCAUGCUCUACAAGGAGCAAGCAGCUCCCUCGUUCUGGGCUGGUAACCUGUCAACAAGCCCACUUGCUCUCUGAAUCAAAAGUGAAUAAUCCGGGUGAUCCACUAUGGUGUUCACUUCCUAAGGCAAACCCUAGGAUUUGAUAACCUAGCAUGUUACUUUUACGUUUGGGAGGAAGUAAAAAAGGCAGGCAUCAUGGCUGCUUAGGAGUUAGUCGGUUUCUUUGAACCUGUUUUUAGAAUUGCUUUGGAGCAGCCACAUAACUUGGGGAAAGUUGUACUAUUUGUCUUACAUGGAAGGAAGUGGCUCCCUACAGUAUUCAUUCAAUUAGUAAAUAUUUAUUGGGUACCUGUUGACAGGUGUGGGACGAAAUCUGAAAACACAGUUGUGAGAAACACUAAAACCGUCCCUGAGCAAGUGCUUACAGUCUGGGAGGAAGUGAGCCUUAAUCCGUGGUCACACCUAUGAUCACAAACUGAAUUUUCAGUAAGGGAUAGCCAGAGGUUUCCCCAAGGAUUGUACAUAUAAGCUGAAAUAUGAAAGCAGUCUAACUAGGUGAUGGGGAAGCAUUCCAGAUAAGGGAACCACACGUGUAUAAACACCUCAACAUGAAAAGGAGUAACUGAGGAACUGGAUGGAGACAGUGUGACUGAAUCUGGUUUUAUGAGGCUAUCUUAACGUUUUCUGACUGAUUUUAAGGGUUGCCCCAUUAAACUUCACUGUCACAGAGGACUUAGCUUCCAGUCCAGCCAAGCUUUCCAGGAGACCUCCCCUACACUUCAUGGGUUGUGUGCUCAGAAAAGCCAGUGACCCCAUUCCAGCUUCUGGAUGGUGUUGCACACUGCGUUUCCUUGCUUUUGCACAGCAACCCCCCCCCCUUUUUUGUGUAAUCUUGGUACAUGAGUGGGAAGCUCAUGAAUCUUACAGAAACUGGCUUUGAAAUGGGAAGUUAAGUGGAACCUAAGCCCCAUUGGGAAAGCCCCUUUCCUUCAGGGGACCAGUUGCCUAUCAGGAAGAUGAGCAUGCCAGCCUCUCCAGAGCUCCCUUCCAUGCUGACAUUAUAGGCUCACCUGAACCAUCUAUGCCUACCUUCAGGCCCUGGCCUAAAGCCAUCAACCUGGUAUUUUCCUAAUGAUUAAUGUCAUGCCUUGGGAGUGCCAUCCUGCUGGCCAAUGGGAUUUGUAAAUUGGGUGCUACUAUCAAGGGGACCAGCCAUUAGAGUGUAAUGUCCUCUACUCCUGAUACAGGGGUCACUAGGACUCACCAGUCAUGGCUGCCUUUUUGCCCCCACCGUCCCAUCAGUUCUUCCUUUCUCAGAGCUGUAAAGGGGAACGUGACUUCCUCCAGGAAUCUGAGAACCCCAGCUAAAGACUACGGUGUCCUGCAGAAUCCCUAGAUCAUCCCACUUGGAAUGGCAUCUUGCAUGUCUGAAAAAGAGUUCUACUUGAUUGUGAUCCACCCUCCCCCACCCAAGUAAUGCAACUUUCCUCAGAGCACUCUCCAGUGGACCCUAGAGUACUGUCUGUUGAAAAGGCGCACCUUUCUUCCGGCUGUUUGUUUUCCCAUAGGCAGUGCACAGAAUUAAAGGAGGAAAGAUGGCAACCAUUGUCUGGGACCUGCCCGGUAAAUGUAUUCUGGUAUUUUUACCUGGUUAUAAAACAAUAAAAGGUUUUAACUUUAAA